UACGUAUGGGGCGAGCGUUGUCCGGAUUUAUUGGGCGUAAAGAGCUCGUAGGCGGCUCGGUAAGUUGGGUGUGAAACCUCCAGGCUCAACCUGGAGACGCCACCCGAUACUGCCGUGGCUUGAGUCCGGUAGGGGAUCACGGAAUACCUGGUGUAGCGGUGAAAUGCGCAGAUAUCAGGUGGAACACCAGUGGCGAAGGCGGUGAUCUGGGCCGGUACUGACGCUGAGGAGCGAAAGCGUGGGGAGCAAACAGG
rnacentral:rRNA from 1 species